GUGCUUACUUCAGCAGCACAUAUACUAAAAUUGGAACAAUCCAGAGAGUAGCAUGGCCCAUGUGCAAGAAUGACAUGCAAAUUGGUGAAGCAUUCCAUAUUUUU